rnacentral:rRNA from 2 species
GCAGUCGAACGGCAGCACGGACUUCGGUCUGGUGGCGAGUGGCGAACGGGUGAGUAAUGUAUCGGAACGUACCAUUGAGUGGGGGAUAACUAUCCGAAAGGAUAGCUAAUACCGCAUAUUCUCUCCGGAGGAAAGCAGGGGACCGCAAGGCCUUGCGCUCAUUGAGCGGCCGAUAUCAGAUUAGCUAGUUGGUGAGGUAAAGGCUCACCAAGGCGACGAUCUGUAGCGGGUCUGAGAGGAUGAUCCGCCACACUGGAACUGAGACACGGUCCAGACUCCUACGGGAGGCAGCAGUGGGGAAUUUUGGACAAUGGGGGCAACCCUGAUCCAGCCAUGCCGCGUGAGUGAAGAAGGCCUUCGGGUUGUAAAGCUCUUUCGGCCGGGAAAAAAUCGCAUGGGUUAAUACCCUGUGUGGAUGAUGGUACCGGAAUAAGAAGCACCGGCUAACUACGUGCCAGCAGCCGCGGUAAUACGUAGGGUGCGAGCGUUAAUCGGAAUUACUGGGCGUAAAGCGUGCGCAGGCGGUUUGUUAAGAUAGGCGUGAAAUCCCCGGGCUCAACCUGGGAACUGCGCUUAUGACUGGCAAGCUAGAGUACGGCAGAGGGGGGUGGAAUUCCACGUGUAGCAGUGAAAUGCGUAGAGAUGUGGAGGAACACCAAUGGCGAAGGCAGCCCCCUGGGUCGAUACUGACGCUCAUGCACGAAAGCGUGGGGAGCAAACAGGAUUAGAUACCCUGGUAGUCCACGCCCUAAACGAUGUCAACUAGGUGUUGGGUGGGUAAAACCAUUUAGUACCGGAGCUAACGCGUGA